CUCACCAUGGAACCGUACUCUGAUGAGCAUCUAAGAAACACAGAAACUCAGAAAUGAAACCAUGUGGCUCUGGCACUGCUGACAUAGAAUCACUGAUAUUUCAAAUAUCAGACUUCUCAAAAAGAAGGUACAAUGAGGAGUCAGGAGUCUGCAACAUGGAAGAGAGCUCUCACCAGAAUCCGAUCAUGCUGGCACCCUAAUUUCAAAUUUCCAGCCUCCAGAACUGUA
rnacentral:lncRNA from 1 species